rfam:Folsomia candida strain VT population Fcan01_Sc020, whole genome shotgun sequence.
GGGCAGUUAGCCUAGUGGUAGGGCGCUCGUCCGGCAAACGGGAGACGCGGGGUUCGAUUCCUCGCACCA